AACGAACGCUGGCGGCAUGCCUAACACAUGCAAGUCGAACGAGACCUUCGGGUCUAGUGGCGCACGGGUGCGUAACGCGUGGGAACCUGCCUUUAGGUUCGGAAUAACUCAGAGAAAUUUGAGCUAAUACCGGAUGAUGUCUUCGGACCAAAGAUUUAUCGCCUUUAGAUGGGCCCGCGUUGGAUUAGCUAGUUGGUGGGGUAAAGGCCUACCAAGGCGACGAUCCAUAGCUGGUCUGAGAGGAUGAUCAGCCACACUGGGACUGAGACACGGCCCAGACUCCUAAGGGAGGCAGGAGGGGGGAAUAUUGGACAAUGGGCGAAAGCCUGAUCCAGCAAUGCCGCGUGAGUGAUGAAGGCCUUAGGGUUGUAAAGCUCUUUUACCCGAGAUGAUAAUGACAGUAUCGGGAGAAUAAGCUCCGGCUAACUCCGUG
rnacentral:rRNA from 1 species